rnacentral:rRNA from 1 species
CAGCCGCCACGGUAAUACGAAGGGUGCAAGCGUUAAUCGGAAUUACUGGGCGUAAAGCGCACGUAGGCGGAUCGAUCAGUCAGGGGUGAAAUCCCAGAGCUCAACUCUGGAACUGCCUUUGAUACUGUCGAUCUGGAGUAUGGAAGAGGUGAGUGGAAUUCCGAGUGUAGAGGUGAAAUUCGUAGAUAUUCGGAGGAACACCAGUGGCGAAGGCGGCUCACUGGUCCAUUACUGACGCUGAGGUGCGAAAGCGUGGGGAGCAAACAGGAUUAGAUACCCGCGUAGUCCCUGUCUCUUAUAC